rnacentral:rRNA from 1 species
GACGAACGCUGGCGGCGUGCUUAACACAUGCAAGUCGAACGGUAAGGCUCUUCGGAGUACACGAGUGGCGAACGGGUGCGUAACACGUGACCAACCUGCCCCUAACACUGGGAUAACAUUUGGAAACAGAUGCUAAUACCGGAUAUGACCUUUUGAGGCAUCUCGAAAGGUGGAAAGCUCCGGCGGUUAGGGAUGGGGUCGCGGCCUAUCAGCUAGUUGGUGAGGUAACGGCUCACCAAGGCGACGACGGGUAGCCGGCCUGAGAGGGCGACCGGCCACAUUGGGACUGAGAUACGGCCCAAACUCCUACGGGAGGCAGCAGUGGGGAAUAUUGCACAAUGGGCGCAAGCCUGAUGCAGCAACGCCGCGUGCGGGAUGACGGCCUUCGGGUUGUAAACCGCUUUCAGCAGGGACGAAGCGCAAGUGACGGUACCUGCAGAAGAAGCAUCGGCCAACUACGUGCCAGCCGCCGCCGUAACAC